rnacentral:rRNA from 1 species
AGGGUUUGAUUAUGGCUCAGGAUGAACGCUGGCGGCGUGCCUAACACAUGCAAGUCGAACGGAACUUCUUUGACAGAAUUCUUCGGAAGGAAGUUGAUUAAGUUUAGUGGCGGACGGGUGAGUAACGCGUGAGUAACCUGCCUUUGAGAGGGGAAUAACUUCCCGAAAGGGAUGCUAAUACCGCAUGAUGCAUAGAAGUCGCAUGGCUUUUAUGCCAAAGAUUUAUCGCUCAAAGAUGGACUCGCGUCCGAUUAGCCAGUUGGCGGGGUAACGGCCCACCAAAGCGACGAUCGGUAGCCGGACUGAGAGGUUGAACGGCCACAUUGGGACUGAGACACGGCCCAG